rnacentral:lncRNA from 1 species
CCCUUGCGGAUUUGGUUAUGCUAAAGAAGGUUAUGAUAAGCUAUGCAAAUCGACCGGUUCAAGUUGAACAAGUCGAGUAAGGAUAGGGUACCAUCCGUUUAGAACGGUUGGUCGUGAAUGCAAUAAUAAAUGUAUGAAGCUCAACCCGUUAUACGGAUAGAACGAAAUAUUUAUGUUGAACACAAUUAACUCGAUUUUACCGAGGCGUAAGUGGUAUGCUUGAAUCUCAUUAUGAGAAUAUAUGCCAUUACCCAUUUAAUUAGAUACUCGAGUGCGUAAAAGAAAUGAAAGUAUAUAAGCGAAUGGAACUAAAAUGUUGGUAUUGUAAGUGAAAUAAGUAUUAUGACUAACCUUUAAAACGGGAAGGGUAAGUAUUUGCAAGAAAACACUGGAACAAUGAAGCUAUGAGGUCGUAAGCAUGUUUGAAUUGAAAAAGAGUACAAACGUGUACUUCGAUACGCAUGUAUAUAAUAAGAAAUAAGUGGCAGUUGACCUUGAAAAGUCAAACUGCAGAAGCUGAGAAAUAAUUUGGUUUCAAACCAAGGGAGUGCUAGAGAAGAAAGGAAAUGUGUAGGAAGCUGAGAAAUAAUUUGGUUUCAAACCAAGGGAGUGCUAGAGAAGAAAGGAAAUGUGUAGGGUAGUACACCAAAUGAGUUAAAGAAUUACGAAAUAAUGAUUAUGUGUUUACCCGUCAAGAUCGGGUCAAACAAUAAGAAUGAUAUAUAUAUAUUAAGAAAUGGUCAUGUAUUGACCCGUUAUGAAUAGGUUUAACACACUAGUGCUUUAAAAAGAAUCUUGGAAGUAGUAAUAUGUAAACAAGGAGAAGUAAUAAACAUCAUGUUUAAAUGAACUUGAAUGAAAUGUGAUAAUCCCCAAUCUUAUAAUGAGUAUGGCAGAU